UACGAAGGGUGCAAGCGUUACUCGGAAUUACUGGGCGUAAAGCGUGCGUAGGUGGUGAGGUAAGUCGGAUGUGAAAGCUCGGAGCUCAACUCCGAAAUGGCAUUGGAAACUACCUUGCUCGAGGGUUGGAGGGGGGACUGGAAUGCUUGGUGUAGCAGUGAGAUGCGUAGAUAUCAAGCGGAACACCAGUGGCGAAGGCGAGUCCCUGGACAACUCCUGACACUGAGGCACGAAAGCUAGGGGAGCAAACAGG
rnacentral:rRNA from 1 species